UACGUAGGUGGCGAGCGUUGUCCGGAUUUACUGGGUGUAAAGGGCGUGUAGGCGGGAGAUCAAGUCAGAUGUGAAAUACCGCAGCUUAACUGCGGGGCUGCAUUUGAAACUGAACUUCUUGAGUGAUGGAGAGGCAAGCGGAAUUCCUAGUGUAGCGGUGAAAUGCGUAGAUAUUAGGAGGAACACCAGUGGCGAAGGCGGCUUGCUGGACAUUAACUGACGCUGAGGCGCGAAAGCGUGGGGAGCAAACAGGAUUAGAUACCCUGGUAGUCCACGCUGUAAACGAUGGAUACUAGGUGUGGGGGGACUGACCCCUUCCGUGCCGGAGUUAACACAAUAAGUAUCCCACCUGGGGAGUACGGUCGCAAGAUUAAA
rnacentral:rRNA from 1 species